AUGAAAACCAGGCUCACAUUGAAUCACUCGUAUCAGCCGAGUUUCGUAAAAAUGCGCAAUCGAUUGAUCGUAAGAAUUUCUUACAUAUCGAGUAUUUGCUUCGUCGUGCAACAUCUAAGGUUGAGCAGCUGGCCUGAUAUGAACAGUGUUGCAGCAAGCAUUGGUUUUCAUGGGGAAGCACUAAGCUCGAUGCUUCUUUGCCAAAAAAUUUUACUAUGUCACAUGGAAUGCCAAAUGGCUACCACAAUGCCAUAAAGGGUGAAAAUUCUUAUAUAUAAGAAUUGGUGAUGAUAAACAAGAUGUUGGCACAACAGUGGGCUGCACUGAAUGAUGCCGGACAGUAGGAGCUUCAGUAGCUUCCGUUGUUGGUUGGGCAAUCAGUGAUGUCGAGCACAAG